rnacentral:rRNA from 1 species
GCAGCGACGCCGCGUGAGGGAUGACGGCCUUCGGGUUGUAAACCUCUUUCAGCAGGGACGAAGCGUGAGUGACGGUACCUGCAGAAGAAGCACCGGCCAACUACGUGCCAGCAGCCGCGGUAAUACGUAGGGUGCAAGCGUUGUCCGGAAUUACUGGGCGUAAAGAGCUCGUAGGCGGUUUGUCGCGUCGUCUGUGAAAACCAGCAGCUCAACUGUUGGCUUGCAGGCGAUACGGGCAGACUUGAGUAUUUCAGGGGAGACUGGAAUUCCUGGUGUAGCGGUGAAAUGCGCAGAUAUCAGGAGGAACACCGGUGGCGAAGGCGGGUCUCUGGGAAAUAACUGACGCUGAGGAGCGAAAGCGUGGGUAGCGAACAGGAUUAGAUACCCUGGUAGUCCACGCCGUAAACGGUGGGCGCUAGGUGUGGGUUUCCUUCCACGGGAUCCGUGCCGUAGCUAACGCAUUAAGCGCCCCGCCUGGGGAGUACGGCCGCAAGGCUAAAACUCAAAGGAAUUGACGGGGGCCCGCACAAGCGGCGGAGCAUGUGGAUUAAUUYGAUGCAACGCGAAGAACCUUACCUGGGUUUGACAUACACCGGAAAG